rnacentral:rRNA from 1 species
CCUACGGGUGGCAGCAGUGGGGGAUAUUGCACAAUGGGGGGAACCCUGAUGCAGCGACGCCGCGUGGGUGAAGACGCGCCUCGGCGCGUAAAGCCCUGUCGGCAGGGAAGAAAAUGACGGUACCUGAAGAAGACGCCCAGGCUAACUACGUGCCAGCAGCCGCGGUAAUACGUAGGUGGCAAGCGUUAUCCGGAUUUACUGGUUGUAACGGGGGCGCAGACGGCGAUCCAAGCCAGGAGUGAAAGCACGGGGCCCAACCCCGGGACUGCUCUUGGAACUGCGUGGCUGGAGUGCAGGAGGGGCAGGCGGAAGUCCUGGGGUAGCGGUGAAAGGCGUAGAUAUCAGGAGGAACACCGGUGGCGAAGGCGGCCUGCUGGACUGCAACUGACGUUGAGGCCCGAAAGCGUGGGGAGCAAACAGGAUUAGAUACCCUGGUAGGC